UGAAUUUAGAAUUGUUUGGCUAAAUGUUCAAAAAUCUCCAAAGCAUGCAUGUGAUGUCACAAGGAAUUCAGCACAGUCUGUGAUGUCUCAAAGAAUUCAGGACAAGCUUUGAUGUCAUUGCUGUGUUGCUAUGGUAUCUGUGAUGGUUGAUAGGGUAGGUAGUUGCUAGGUGGUUGCUAAGGUGGCGGCAGGUAGUUGCUAAUGAAUUCAGGACAAGCUGUAAUGUCAUUGCUGUGUUGCAAUGUGAUGUGUCGCUAUGGCAUCUGUGCUGGUUGAUAGGGUAGGUAGUUGCUAGGUGGUUGCUAUGGUGGCGGCAGGUAGUUGCUAAUGAAUUCAGGACAGGCUGUAAUGUCAUUACUGUGUUGCUAUGUGAUGUGUUGCUAUAGAAUCCGUGAUGGUUGAUAGGAUAGGUAGUUGCUAGGUGGUUGCUAAGGUGGCGGCAGGUAGUUGCUAAUGAAUUCAGGACAGGCUGUAAUGUCAUUACUGUGUUGCUAUGUGAUGUGUUGCUAUAGAAUCCGUGAUGGUUGAUAGGGUAGGUAGUUGCUAGGUGGUUGCUAAGGCGGCGGCAGGUAGUUGCUAAUGAAUUCAGGACAAUCUGCAGUGUAUUUGCUGUGUGAUGUGUUUUUUAUGGUAUCUGUGGUGGUUGAUAGGGUAGGUAGUUGCUAGGUGGUUGCUAAGGUGGCGGCAGGUAGUUGCUAAUGAAUUCAGGACAGGCUGUAAUGUCAUUACUGUGUUGCUAUGUGAUGUGUUGCUAUAGAAUCCGUGAUGGUUGAUAGGGUAGGUAGUUGCUAGGUGGUUGCUAAGGCGGCGGCAGGUAGUUGCUAAUGAAUUCAGGACAAUCUGCAGUGUAUUUGCUGUGUGAUGUGUUUUUUAUGGUAUCUGUGGUGGUUGAUAGGGAAGGUAGUUGCUAGGUGGUUGUGGUUGCUAAUAAAUUCAGGUCAAACUGUGAUGUCACAUUGAACUCAGGUCAAGCUGUGAUGUCACAUUGAACUCAGGUCAAGCUGUGAUGUCAUAGUAAAUUAAGUGCAUAUUUUUUUGCUUGGUAAGAAUGGGCAUCAAUAGGAUUUGUUCUCUAAAAUCUGUAAAAAUGAUUUAUUAAUAAAUAUGAAGUAAAUAUCAGGACUGCAGGAUGAAUCUUCACAGCUGCUGCUGCUGCUGCUGUUUCUGUUUUUAUUUAUGUGACACACUUUCCCCCAUUUUCCCCCCGUUUUUCCCCACUGGGUAGUUCCUCCGCUCUGUGAUUAGUUGUGUGUAAACAGCUUCACUUCAGCGCGGAGCUUUUUAUCCCCCUCAGCUUUGAAGCACAGCUUUAUAAAUAUGCGGUUUGUUGGCAGCGUUUUAUUUCUGCACAGCGUUUCUCUCUGUGUUUCUCUCUGUUCUCUCUCAGUUCAGGGUUUAUGUGCAUCUUUUCAGAAUCAACGUCUCGCCUGCGCUUUAUUGAUGCGCUCGUAUUUUUGCAGGGAGGUCACUGGAAUAGAUCCUCUACACUACUGAAGUAAAGUUAUAUGUUGUGCUGUAAAUGUAUUUAUAAGCACAGUUGGGCAGAACACUGUGGAAAAAACAUGGGGGCUGAAUAAUAAAUCAGCUGCUCUAAAUAUAUUCAAUAAUGUAUUUCGCUGUAAUCCAAAAUUAACGUAUUCAG